UACGAAGGGUGCAAACGUUGCUCGGAAUCAUUGGGCGUAAAGCGCACGUAGGCGGCUUCAAAAGUCGGAUGUGAAAUCCCGUGGCUCAACCAUGGACGUGCAUUCGAAACUGCGAAGCUUGAGUAUGGAAGAGGGUCGCGGAAUUCCCGGUGUAGAGGUGAAAUUCGUAGAUAUCGGGAGGAACACCAGUGGCGAAGGCGGCGACCUGGGCCAAUACUGACGCUGAGAAGCGAAAGCAUGGGGAGCGAACAGG
rnacentral:rRNA from 1 species